GCGCGGCUAGCUCAGCGGUAGAGCGCCUGGUUGACAUCCAGGAGGCCAGUGGUUCGACACCACUGCUGCGCACCA
rnacentral:tRNA from 1 species